rnacentral:lncRNA from 1 species
GUUCCAAAUCAACCAAAGGCCUAGAAUGAGUCUGAAAUGACAACGAAUUUAUGAAUGACGGUCGACAAAUGGAGACAUCAAGGCCACACCCAUCAGGCAGGUUGCCGUCUGGUCUUGAAAAAAGUAUUUAAUAUAUCAGUUCGGCGAAACAGACAUUCCGUUCAGACAUGCAAACCCCAGCCACCAAACAAAAAUGCCCGUUUUAUUCAUCAUGUUCAUUUAAUGCAAAAAAAUUCUGUUGGAAAUUUUUGUUUCUAAUAGCAAAAACAGUGGACAUGAUUAUUGUUGUCAAUCCAGAUACAGCCAGAAUUUUUGUUUAAGGCAAAAAUCAGAGUUAUUUUUUUCUCUCAC